rnacentral:lncRNA from 1 species
ACUACACUGCAGCCUAGGUGACAGAAUGAGACCCUGUCUCCAAAACAAUAAAAAGAGAUCGUCUUUAUCUAGAAUAGUCAUGUGCCCCACAUAAAAAAAAAAAAAAAAAAAAAAAGAUUUUAUGACAAAUAAAGAAGAUGCUGAAAAGAAAAUUAGCAGUUUUGUCCACAGGGGCCUAAACCACAUGAAUACUGAUGACAAUUGUCAAAAUUCUUACAGCUAGUGUGGUAGACCAGAAACCCUCUGAAGCCUGCUGCCUUUCUAGGUAAGAGGGGAUUGUCGCUUGGAUCCAAGGGGAGAAACGCUCUAGGACGUUCCAGAAUUCUGGCCCCAGAAGCAUCUAAAACCCUCAUUAGCACUGCAAGGGAAUGUCGAAGUGUGUGUAGAGACAGGAGAGGCAGCACUCAGAUUCUUGGGCUAGACUGCUCAGGUUUGACUCCCUAAUUGGCUGCAUGCUAGCUAUGUGACCUUGAGCAAGGUACUUAACUUCUCCAUGCCUUCGUUUCUUCAUUGUAAAAUAUGAUCAUAACGAUACUGUUGCUCACAGGGUUGCCAUGAAGAAUUAAUGAGUCAACAUUUAUAUUAUGGAAAUUGUGCAUGUGUAUCGCUUAAAAUAGUGAUUGGCACAGAGUGUUCAAUAAAACAAAAUAUUAAAAGUACAAGUACCGUUUUGCAAAGUCAUUUUUUAAUGUCGUAAAGAGAUUCUCCUCCUGAACAGAGCUGAAAAGCUGCAACCUAGCCUAGAUGACUUCCAAUUUGACAGCUUUUUAGGUCCAAGCAUUUCUUAAAAGUGCUGUACUCCCAAGAGUGAGGCAGUUCGUCAUCUUCAAAGGCAGUUUGUGCUGCAUCUCCUGGGUGUCCAGACCUAGCUUAAAGAGAUACGGGUUGUUCUAAGAGAAAAGACACACUCCCACCCUCUUUUCUUGGCUAAGGAACCCAGUGCAGCCACUGACUGUAUUUCUCUCUCCAACUCUUCCACCUGCCAACUCGCUUGCUUCAUAGCAUCUCAGCAGCUGACCAUAUUGCAAACAGAUCAGUUUCCUUUGAUGCCCUGGACCAGACGAGGUCCAUAUGAGGUUCUCAAACAAAGCUUUUGCUUUGUUUCUAAACAACUUAAGAAGAUUUCAAAGAGGAAGACGUGCUCUAUUUUCUCAGGAUCCCUUUUCCUGCUCAAACAGAAAGAAAAGCCCAAGACCCAGGGAGGGACCCAGUGAUACAGACAGACAGACUUUGAGAAGGAGACAGGAUAAGGAAUAGCUGCAAAGCUUAGAUUACUUCCUAAAGGAUGGGGGUGGAAUAUGUGAUCUUUAUCUAAUCAGACAGUCUACUCAGGAAGUCCCCGAGAUCAAAGCAAGGGGCUUUUUAUUUAGCACUGUGUCAACUUGAAAACAGUCCUGGCAAAGCCACAGAUCUGGAUAAGCUCACACCUCUCCCCACCCCCGCUGCCCUGACCUGUCUCUCAGCAUCUGAACUCUCUUAACAUUCCAUUUAGAAUAAAAUCCUGGGUUAAAAAGAGUCCCUGGGAUUACUGUAGGAAGAGACAACAUUUGACAAAGCAAGGCAGAAAACGCCACAGUCCUUCCUGACUUCCAGAACAAUUGGGUGCAUACUCUGGGGGAAGACACCACCCAGGCAUUGUGUCACAGCGUCUCGGAGGAAAAAUAGGAACUAAGAGCAAUCAGACCACAACAUGGAAUAGGGAGGGCAAGAGAACAGAGCUACAGUCCCCAAAUAUUACUUGCUACAAAGAAUAAGAGAGUCGGUAGGGUUGGGGUAUGUCCUUGUAAAGCAGGAGAAACACAUUGAAGAAAUGUGUUGAAGAAAAGACAGGGGCUUGAGAAGACUAGGGACUGGUCCAAAGGAAGGGAGGUCACUUACUGGAAACACAAUGACUCAGGCGGAGCAAGGCAAGAAAGUUGGAAUCACACUGCAAAGGUAGAAAGAGCUCAUCUUCCUGGAUGAAAGACUAUUGAACCGUGGUUCCCAUAACCCAGUGUGUUACCAAAGAGAAAGAACUCAGCCCUAUUCCUUUCCCAAUGUAACUUAUAUCCUACCAAAUCCAGUAUCUACCAAAAAACAGAUAAAUGCUUCAGUAUGAUACUAUUCAUAUGAAACUACGUUUUCUUGGCCAUUUACUUUGUUAGGCAACAUAUAGUAUCUCAUUUAAUCUUUAUAACUACCAUACGACUAUAAUUCUCAUUUGAUAACCUGCAUUUAUUCCUUUAGACCUGAUUUUUCUUAUACAUGUCAUGGACUACUCCCAGAGUUAAUUACUAAAAGAAUGUUCUUAAAUGAGAGUAUUUAGUAUUUAUCUUGGAAAAAAAGCCUUCUUCUUCAAUCCCAGAAUUUUGAAAUGAAGGCUUCUUUAUGGAAGAAUAAACUAACCAACAGAAAAUCAUUGGUUUAUUCUUUCAUAAAUAGAUGGGCCAAAAUAUUUUUGGUCUCCUCUGACCAAAAAAAUUGUUAAUAGCCUGAAUGAUAAGAAAUGCAUUCUUUCUUGUGAGUCUUUCUGAGUUUCUAUUUAGUUAGCUGCUUUUAGGGUGUGUGCUUCUCUAAGAAAUGUUAUCUAUCUCCCUUCCUAUAAGGACAACAACUUGCAGUGGUGUGAAAUUAUUAUAAGUCGAGAAGUAUUUGCAGUAAUUGCUUGGUGCCCUAUAAAAACAUACUGUAACUUUCAGGUACUAUCCCUGGGACCUAGCUGUGAAAUCAACUUUCAUAACCCUCACGAAUGCUUGUGUACCUGUUUACAACAAGUGGCUGUUUACAAAGCAUGUCCCCAUGGGUUGUCUCUGACUUUCACAGCCCCACCUCACAGGUAGUGUUCCAACCAGGGAGCUCCUGGAUGCAAGGAACAGAGAGCCACUCGACCUAAGUGACCACCAGAGGGUGCCCACA